GAACGGGUGAGUAACACGUGGGCAAUCUGCCCUUCACUCUGGGACAAGCCCUGGAAACGGGGUCUAAUACCGGAUACUGACCCUCGCAGGCAUCUGCGAGGUUCGAAAGCUCCGGCGGUGAAGGAUGAGCCCGCGGCCUAUCAGCUUGUUGGUGAGGUAAUGGCUCACCAAGGCGACGACGGGUAGCCGGCCUGAGAGGGCGACCGGCCACACUGGGACUGAGACACGGCCCAGACUCCUACGGGAGGCAGCAGUGGGGAAUAUUGCACAAUGGGCGAAAGCCUGAUGCAGCGACGCCGCGUGAGGGAUGACGGCCUUCGGGUUGUAAACCUCUUUCAGCAGGGAAGAAGCGAAAGUGACGGUACCUGCAGAAGAAGCGCCGGCUAACUACGUGCCAGCAGCCGCGGUAAUACGUAGGGCGCAAGCGUUGUCCGGAAUUAUUGGGCGUAAAGAGCUCGUAGGCGGCUUGUCACGUCGGUU
rnacentral:rRNA from 1 species